rnacentral:rRNA from 1 species
AAUAGAUACCCCGGUAGUCUACGCCGUAAACGAUGCGCACCAGGUUCGAAGGUCUCUGACGAUCCUCGAGCCGAAACAAAAGCGAUAAGUGCGCCGCCUGGGGAGUACGGCCGCAAGGCUAAAACUCAAAGGAAUUGACGGGGGCUCACACAAGCGGUGGAGCAUGUGGAUCAAUUCGAAGCAACGCGAAGAACCUUACCUGGGUUUGACAUGUACGGAUGCCCUCGCCGAAAGGUGAGUAAGCUGCCUUCGGGCGAAACGUAUACAGGUGCUGCAUGGCUGUCGUCAGCUCGUGCUGUGAAGUGUCGGGUUAAGUCCCUUAACGAGCGAAACCCUUAUCGCUAGUUGCCAGCGGGUCAUGCCGGGAACUCUAGUGAGACUGCCGGCGUCAAGCCGGAGGAAGGCGGGGACGACGUCAAGUCAUCAUGGCCUUUAUGCCCAGGGUGUCACACGUGCUACAAUGGGGUGGCACAGAGCGACGCAAGACCGCAAGGUGGAGCAAAUCGCAGAAAACACCCCGUCAGUUCGG